GACGAACGCUGGCGGCGUGCCUAACACAUGCAAGUCGAGCGAAUGAAGUUCCUUCGGGAAUGGAUUUAGCGGCGGACGGGUGAGUAACACGUGGGCAACCUGCCUCAUAGAGGGGAAUAGCCUUCCGAAAGGGAGAUUAAUACCGCAUAAGAUUGUAGUAUCGCAUGAUACAGCAAUUAAAGGAGCAAUCCGCUAUGAGAUGGGCCCGCGGCGCAUUAGCUAGUUGGUGAGGUAACGGCUCACCAAGGCGACGAGGCGUAGCCGACCUGAGAGGGUGAUCGGCCACAUUGGGACUGAGACACGGCCCAGACUCCUACGGGAAGCAGCAGUGGGGAAUAUUGCACAAUGGGGGAAACCCUGAUGCAGCAACGCCGCGUGAGUGAUGACGGCCUUCGGGUUGUAAAGCUCUGUCUUCAGGGACGAUAAUGACGGUACCUGAGGAGGAAGCCACGGCUAACUACGUG
rnacentral:rRNA from 1 species